GUGCUGCUCCGCCGCCAAAGCUCGCGCGGGGGAAGCGGGGCUGUAGCUGGGCAGGGAGAGGGCGGACGAAAUCGGUAGCGAUCUCGGCUGCGGCGCUGCCGCAGCUGCCCGGCCCGCGGGGCGCGCCCUGACCCUUCAUCUUUGGGCAGGCUCGAGGGCGCGCGCACGGUUGGCGUUCUGGGGCCUCAAACUCCUGGGCCUUGACCGGGCAGGCCGCGUCUCCCCGGGUGUGAGUCCACCGGGACCCGGCCGCCGCCUAAGCGCGGGCGCCACAGAAGCGGCGGCGCCCGAAGACGCGCUCCUGGCUCGGCCCGACAGCCUCGCUUGGCCGCCAGUUCUUCUGCAGCCGAAGGCGGUUGUUCUUUUAAAGAAUUAUUGAAGACGAAGGUUUUUUUCUUUUUAUUUUUUUAAUGGCUUUACAGAAUCUUAAAUAGAAUACAGUUUGACAUGACGGCAAAAAAUGUUGGUUUGACUUCCACAAAUGCAGAAGUAAGAGGAUUUAUAGAUCAGAAUCUCAGUCCAACAAAAGAUUAUAAGCACACCACAGAGACUAACCAGUUCAGGAAGUGUUCUGA
rnacentral:lncRNA from 1 species